rnacentral:rRNA from 1 species
GAUGAACGCUGGCGGCGUGCCUAAUACAUGCAAGUCGAGCGAACGGACGAGAAGCUUGCUUCUCUGAUGUUAACGGCGGACGGGUGAGUAACACGUGGAUAACCUACCUAUAAGACUGGGAUAACUUCGGGAAACCGGAGCUAAUACCGGAUAAUAUUUUGAACUGCAUGGUUCAAAAGUGAAAGACGGUCUUGCUGUCACUUAUAGAUGGAUCCGCGCUGCAUUAGCUAGUUGGUAAGGUAACGGCUUACCAAGGCAACGAUGCAUAGCCGACCUGAGAGGGUGAUCGGCCACACUGGAACUGAGACACGGUCCAGACUCCUACGGGAGGCAGCAGUAGGGAAUCUUCCGCAAUGGGCGAAAGCCUGACGGAGCAACGCCGCUUGAGUGAUGAAGGUCUUCGGAUCGUAAAACUCUGUUAUUAGGGAAGAACAUAUGUGUAAGUAACUGUGCACAUCUUGACGGUACCUAAUCAGAAAGCCACGGCUAACUACGUG